GGCGGCUCUCCGUGUGGCGUCAUCCUGCGAACCCCCCAGGACCGAAAGGUAGCAAGGGUAAGAAGGCUCUGGCGGGUGCACGGAGAGUCCUUCAC
rnacentral:SRP_RNA from 1 species